rnacentral:rRNA from 1 species
GAUGAACGCUGGCGGCGUGCUUAACACAUGCAAGUCGAACGAAGCAUUCUAACGGAACAUUUUCGGAUGGGAAGUUAAAAUGACUGAGUGGCGGACGGGUGAGUAACGCGUGGAUAACCUACCAUAUACAGGGGGACAACAGUUGGAAACGACUGCUAAUACCGCAUAAGCGCACAGUGCCGCAUGGCACGGUGUGAAAAACUCCGGUGGUAUAUGAUGGAUCCGCGUCUGAUUAGCUAGUUGGUGAGGUAAUGGCCCACCAAGGCAACGAUCAGUAGCCGACCUGAGAGGGUGACCGGCCACAUUGGGACUGAGACACGGCCCAAACUCCUACGGGAGGCAGCAGUGGGGAAUAUUGCACAAUGGGCGAAAGCCUGAUGCAGCGACGCCGCGUGAGCGAAGAAGUAUUUCGGUAUGUAAAGCUCUAUCAGCAGGGAAGAAAAUGACGGUACCUGACUAAGAAGCCCCGGCUAACUACGUG